rnacentral:rRNA from 1 species
UGUGGUGGCGAUAGCGAGAAGGAUACACCUGUUCCCAUGCCGAACACAGAAGUUAAGCUUCUUAGCGCCGAUU